rnacentral:rRNA from 1 species
UGCAGCAGUUUUCAGUUCCUGAAUAUUGCUGUGGAAAGUUUGGUGAACCUUAUCACUUAGAGGAAGGAGAAGUCGUAACAAGGUUUCCGUAGGUGAACCUGCGGAAGGAUCAUUC